AGCACGGGGGCAACCCUGGUGGCGAGCGGCGAACGGGUGAGUAACACAUCGGAACAUGCCCAGUCGUGGGGGAUAACACUUCGAAAGAAGUGCUAAUACCGCAUACGUCCUGAGGGAGAAAGCGGGGGAUCGCAAGACCUCGCGCGAUUGGAGUGGCCGAUGUCAGAUUAGCUAGUUGGUGGGGUAAAGGCCUACCAAGGCAACGAUCUGUAGCUGGUCUGAGAGGAUGAUCAGCCACACUGGGACUGAGACACGGCCCAGACUCCUACGGGAGGCAGCAGUGGGGAAUUUUGGACAAUGGGGGCAACCCUGAUCCAGCCAUUCCGCGUGAGUGAAGAAGGCCUUCGGGUUGUAAAGCUCUUUCGGCAGGAACGAAACG
rnacentral:rRNA from 1 species